GCAUAUAUUUACAUAACGACUGUUUAACUUUAUUUUUACUGAUCAGUUGUUUUUUAUAGUAGAUAUAAUUUUUUGGAGGAAAUGUUUAUGUUUGAAUUAAUGUGUAAAACUAAUAAUAUGUUCAUGAAUAAAUGAGUGGGAGAGAAAAAAUGUUUUAUGACUUAACUCUUGACAACACAGGUUUCCUGAAUACCUAUUAGAUAAAGUUAGUGUUCGGAAACAUCCUUCAAUUAAUGGUUAAAUAUAACCCGGAUCACCUCUUCAAAGUUUUUUCGACUUUAUCUGUAGUCCAGUUUUGAAUCUCAAUAAGUUUAUAAUCUUAUUGAUAGACUACUCUUAAUAACAUUUGAACAAAAACAACAAAUGAAUUUACAAAUUGCUAAAAAGCUUUUCACCAGGAGCAAACCUAAAGGCGUUUUUGUUGGGAAUUUGAAAGCAUUUUAAAUUUGUUUCAAGACCCUCAAACUCGUCCAACGUACAUUUAAAACCACUAUUUUCCUGAUAUUUUUAUCAAUACCGGUUAGGUUUAUUAUCAUUUUAAUAAUUCUAGGCUAUAAUAAUAAUAUAAUAACAUCAUUUUAAGUAUUAUUUGUUUGGGCAUUCGACACUAUUAAGCUAUCUGUCAUUUUAUACAUUUUUCUUUAUUGUUUAUACAUACAUUUUU